AACAACACGAACUGCUAAAGGUUCUAAAUCGUAAUCGAUAAAUAUUCCUGGGGGAAGAGAACCGAAUCCUAGCUGACGAACGACGGAAUUUUCAGUUAAAGAGUAUUGAUUUGUCUCAAAUGAGCGGAAGGAAGAUUUGUAACUAGUUGGCAGAACCGAAAGGUAAUAUUGAAAUGCAAACGGAUGAUCAUUUGCAUGACCAUAGUGACCAUCAAGAGCGUUUACUAACGCAGGAUAAUACUCACCAAAAGACAGCUCUUCAAUAUAGUGAGUGAAGUUUAAAGAGUGAAAGGGGAUAUUCGAUCUUCCAUAACCCCAUCCAGGAGCUGUAAUAUGAAGUUGUCCAUUAACCCGAUUUACGACCAAUUGGCCGUAAAUUCGACAAGCUGUACCACUUCCAGGUUCAGCGUUAUUUUUCUUCCUG